rnacentral:rRNA from 1 species
CAGCAGCCGCGGGAAUACGUAGGGUGCGAGCGUUAAUCGGAAUUACUGGGCGUAAAGCGUGCGCAGGCGGUUAUAUAAGACAGAUGUGAAAUCCCCGGGCUCAACCUGGUACCUGCAUUUGUGACUGUAUAGCUAGAGUACGGUAGAGGGGGAUGGAAUUCCGCGUGUAGCAGUGAAAUGCGUAGAUAUGCGGAGGAACACCGAUGGCGAAGGCAAUCCCCUGGACCUGUACUGACGCUCAUGCACGAAAGCGUGGGGAGCAAACAGGAUUAGAUACCCCCGUAGUCCCUGUCUCUUAUAC